rnacentral:snRNA from 1 species
GGGAGGCAAGGGUAAGGGAGGCAAGGGCAAGGGUGGCAAGGGAGGAGCCAAGGCCGGCGCCAAGGUGGUGAUCGAGGCACACAGACACGAAGGUGU